UACGGGGGGUGCGAGCGUUGUCCGGAAUCACUGGGCGUAAAGGGCGCGUAGGUGGUUUGAUAAGGGUGUGGUGAAAGUCCGGGGCUCAACCCCGGAUCUGCCGUGCCGACUGUCAAACUCGAGGACUGUAGAGGCAGACGGAAUUCCGCGUGUAGCAGUGAAAUGCGUAGAUAUGCGGAGGAACACCGAUGGCGAAGGCAAUCCCCUGGACCUGUACUGACGCUCAUGCACGAAAGCGUGGGGAGCAAACAGG
rnacentral:rRNA from 1 species